UCCCGUGGAUACAGUUGAGGACGGCAGC
rnacentral:sRNA from 1 species